GAUGAACGCUGGCGGCGUGCCUAAUACAUGCAAGUCGAGCGAACAGACGAGGAGCUUGCUUCUCUGACGUUAGCGGCGGACGGGUGAGUAACACGUGGAUAACCUACCUAUAAGACUGGGAUAACUUCGGGAAACCGGAGCUAAUACCGGAUAAUAUAUUGAACCGCAUGGUUCAAUAGUGAAAGACGGUCUUGCUGUCACUUAUAGAUGGAUCCGCGCCGCAUUAGCUAGUUGGUAAGGUAACGGCUUACCAAGGCAACGAUGCGUAGCCGACCUGAGAGGGUGAUCGGCCACACUGGAACUGAGACACGGUCCAGACUCCUACGGGAGGCAGCAGUAGGGAAUCUUCCGCAAUGGGCGAAAGCCUGACGGAGCAACGCCGCGUGAGUGAUGAAGGUCCUCGGAUCGUAAAACUCUGUUAUUAGGGAAGAACAAAUGUGUAAGUAACUAUGCACGUCUUGACGGUACCUAAUCAGAAAGCCACGGCUAACUACGUG
rnacentral:rRNA from 1 species